UACGUAGGGCGCAAGCGUUGUCCGGAAUUAUUGGGCGUAAAGAGCUCGUAGGCGGUUUGUCGCGUCUGCUGUGAAAGCCUGAGGCUCAACCUCGGGCUUGCAGUGGGUACGGGCAGACUAGAGUGCGGUAGGGGUGACUGGAAUUCCUGGUGUAGCGGUGGAAUGCGCAGAUAUCAGGAGGAACACCGAUGGCGAAGGCAGGUCACUGGGCCGCAACUGACGCUGAGGAGCGAAAGCAUGGGGAGCGAACAGG
rnacentral:rRNA from 1 species